GCAUCAUCAAAUCAAUUUUAUUACCUGUCUCUUACCAGCCUGUAGUACAACCCAAAAGCCUACUGUGCGACUCAAGACAGGAAGUGGCCUGGGCUUCAGAAGGUUUUUACAGAGAAGAAAUGUUCCCAGGAAACAUAACAUCCAAGCAGCAUACCCUGUGAUCCCAGAACAACACAAUAGUGAUUUGUCUGCCACAUUGCCUUCAGGGAAUCAGGAGGAGGAAAUGACCACUCUCUUAUUUUGAAGAAAGUUCAGCACAAGGGCAAAAUCAUCGAAAAAACUUGACCAGAUAGGCUCAAGGAAGCAGAUGUGGACAUGAGGCAGAUUUGAUUGGGAGGGACAUCAGAAAAAUAUGGAACAUGUCUGAACAGUAGGCCCAAAUGGGGCCCAGAACAGCCACUCUGGUCAGCCUGGAGCCAGCAUGAGGGCCCCAAGUACUUGAAGCAGGCAGGGAGGAGAUGGUGAGAAUGA